rnacentral:rRNA from 1 species
UACGUAGGGUCCGAGCGUUGUCCGGAAUUAUUGGGCGUAAAGAGCUCGUAGGCGGUUUGUCGCGUCUGCUGUGAAAUCCCGAGGCUCAACCUCGGGCCUGCAGUGGGUACGGGCAGACUGGAGUGCGGUAGGGGAGAAUGGAACUCCUGGUGUAGCGGUGGAAUGCGCAGAUAUCAGGAGGAACACCGGUGGCGAAGGCGGGACUCUGGGCCGAUACUGACGCUGAGGAGCGAAAGCGUGGGGAGCGAACAGG